UUUACGCCCAAUCACAAGUUUCCAUAUUUUUUGAUCAUGUAUCUUAUUUAAUUUUUUUUAUAAUUAGUAUAUUUAUUGUUAGAUGAUAAAACUUGAAUAGUACUUUAUGAGUGACUUAUGUUUUUUAUUUUUUUUCAUCUUUUCUUCAAUUAAGAUGGAUGAUUAAACUUGGACACGGAAACUCAUGGCUGCGUUUAAA
rnacentral:pre_miRNA from 1 species